rnacentral:tRNA from 2 species
CGGCUUAUAGCUCAGUAGGUAGAGCGCUGGCCUCAUAUGCCAGUCGUCCCCGGUUCGAACCCGGGUAAGCCAA